rnacentral:lncRNA from 1 species
GGCAUUUCAUAGAGAAGACGUUUGUUUAAUGCAUUCACUGUCCCCUAAGCUCUGCCGAGAAAGACGUUGCCACUAAAAGGGGUCGUUAUUGGGGUCAGGUGCAUGCCUGUUGCUUGGUCAAGUUCGGAUUAUCUGGCGAAUGCCAAUUUUAGGAUCAAAAUAACAAAUGUUUAGGGCCGUAGAACUGCAUAGGAGCUGGCCAAGAUCUUUGGUCAGAGUUGAAUUAACCGAAAGAUUAACCAGAGUUGGAUUAACGGAAGUCUACUGUAUACACUUUUCUGUUCAACAAGGAGUUGCCAUUUUAAUAUGUAGUUUUCUUCUAUCAGUGUGGUAAUUGUGCUAAAUUUAGCAUUUGGUUAAUUUAAAAGGACAAGUUUCAAAGCAGGGGCAUGCUUUGAGACUUGAAACAUUUGAACAUAUAAAGGUAGGACACAUUAACAGCUGCUGAAUUAACCUAAGUUGGUUGUAUUAUGUGCAUAGCAUGUGGUUGCUUUUUGGGAAUGUGGUCAUUCUGUAAAAUAAAACUGCAUUUGUUUCAAAUAAAUUGCUGAAUCUACUGCUUGUGUGUUUUCCUGUGCU